AAUUGCCUGCUAUAAAUACACUUUAUGAAUAGAAAAAUAACUGAAAACAUUUUAAUAAAAAUAUGAAAUAGCAAAUACUAUAAAGGAAUUACAUGUAGGACAUUAUGGGUCUAUGUAAAAAAAUUUUUUUUUCAGAAUUAAAUGAUGCCAGAGUAGAGAUGAACAGAAAUUUUGCAGGAAAGAACCUACAGAAUGCCAUUCUAGGAGGAGGACCCAGGAGAAGUAGAGGCUCAGCAUGGAGUGGACAAGAAACACUAUCAUGUGUAUAUAGUUCCUGUCACCUGAAGCGCAGCUUGGGGUAGAGCAGGAGACAACUCCCGAGGAAAUCGGGAAUAUCAUGCUAGGCAUCUUAAAUUCUGUCCUACAGAUGCUAAGACAUUUAAUCAGGGGAUUCACUAACAGUCAUACUUGCAUUUUUGGUAGAUUACAGUGGUAGUAGUGUGACAUAUGGGGAAAGAAGAGGUUAGAGGCAGGUGAGAAGCACGGAGACUCCUCAGGAAACCAGUUUCAGGUAAAAAAAAAAAAAUAGAUGAUGAAGGCCUGAACUAAGACAAUAUAUUGGGAAUGGAGAAAAAUAUUUUACAGAUGAUUAGGAAAUAUUUAAGGCUUAAUUCCUAUGCUGCUUAGGUCAUACUGUGUGGCUAAAUUAGUAACACCAAAACUCACAUAAAAGAAUACUUGUAUGCGUACAUAUCGUGCCUGCGUAAUUUUCCCACUGGAAGAAGAGUCUCAAAGGGGAUGGGAAGGCCAAGAACUGACAAUGAAGAUUUCACAAUCUGUCUUUGGACUAACUUCUGCAAGCCCAGACGAGGCAUUUGGGAUGAGAAAUUGCUGCCCUCUGUCUCAGAACCAGGCUGUGGAGAGACGAGAAAGAGCAAUGAGUUGGGGACAGGAUUCCAGAGAAAGACCUGCAGGACUUGAUGGCAGAUAAGAACAGAUGAGCAAAUGUGGAGUCAUGUGAUGGUCACAGAACAGGCUGUGCAGAAACACAAUUUUGGAAGAAAGAGAGGGAGUGCUUUUGAGUCAUUUUUAGUUUCUGCGGCAGCAGGAUUUCCAACUGGUAUAAAGAUAGUCAGGAAUGAACAGAAACAGUGAAGGGCCUGAGUGUGUCAUGAGAACAGGAUAUCAGGACUGGUUUGCUGUCAGCCGGAAACAACUUGGCUGUCCCUGCUGAGGAGGGACCCAGGGCAUAGGGGGGAGUGAAUUUUGCAACUCUUUCCAGCCCAUGUUUCACCAUAUUCAAUAUCUGCCUUAUGUUUGGGCUAAGUGAGCAAAUGUUUUUGUGGUAUAAUUUUGAGGCUUCCCUUAAACUUCUCUUCUUGGUCAUAUAAAUAAGAAGAAUCUAAAAUUCUCCAAGUCAAGAGCAAAUCUUCUCCUUCGUUACAGUGAGUGUAGGGAUUCAAAUUCAAACUGAG
rnacentral:lncRNA from 10 species